rnacentral:lncRNA from 1 species
AGUCCAGGGAGAUGUAAGGGAGCAAGAGCAGCUUAGUUCAUGCCUGGCAAAGAGAUACAAGGAUAAAAGACGACUAGCUGCUUCAAAGAUUAAAAAGUGGCCAUGACCUGCCUUUGAGGAGAAGAGGAGAAGGAGGGGUAGUCAUCUUUUAGGUCUCCAUACAAUCCUGCAAUCAAGUAGCUGCUGGGGAGGCCAGCGGUACCAAGUUCCAUCAGGUGGCACUGCUCACAGGCAGGGAAACUACCAUCUCUACACACUCUGGCAACAGAAACUGGCCUGUACUGCUAUGACAUUCCUGAAUCAAUGAAUCUCACUGAAUUUUCCUUCCUCGGCAAAUAGGGAAAGGUUUUCCAAGGUGCUGGGCAAAAGAGAACGACCACUGACAAGUGAGUGUACAGGCUCCCAUGAGACCUAGGAAGCACAGAAGCACAGAGUUAAGGCUUUGACUUCAACCCAUUGACAUCAAACACAACCCAGUGAAAUGGCUGA